rnacentral:rRNA from 1 species
AGAGAGAGACAUGCGCGCAUAUCAAUAAGCGGAGGAAAAGUACCUAACUAGGAUUCCCUCAGUAACGGCGAGUGAAGCGGGAAGAGCUCAAAUUUGAAAUCUUCAAGGUUCUACCUUGACGAAUUGUAGUUUAAAGAAGUGUUUUCUGUUGGAGUUUUGGUAAAAGUUCUUUGGAAUAGGACAUCAUAGAGGGUGAGAAUCCCGUAUUUGACCAUUACUUUCAACUUUGUGAUACACUUUCAAAGAGUCGGAUUGUUUGGGAAUGCAGUCCAAAAUGGGUGGUAAAUUUCAUCUAAAGCUAAAUAUUGGCGAGAGACCGAUAGCGAACAAGUACCGUGAGGGAAAGAUGAAAAGAACUUUGAAAAGAGAGUUAAACAGUACGUGAAAUUGUCAAAAGGGAAGCGUUUGACACCAGUGUUGUUUUCUCGAAAAUCAAUUAAAAAGAGUUAGAUUUUGUUGUGUAUUGACCUUAACAGCUUGCAUUUCAAUUUUCUUGCUUUUUUUAAUGCACUUUUCGUUUAACAAGUCAACAUCAGUUUCUUUGUUGUAAAAAGGUCAUUGGAAGGUGGCUUUCUUUUCGGAGAAAGUGUUUAUAGCCUUUGACUCCUGCAAUCGGAGAGACUGAGGUCUGCAGCGUAGAUCCUUCGGGGUUAGAUACAUUUGUGCUAAGUUAUGGCCUUUCAUAGACAACUUGUUGACUAUGAUCAGUCAUGUAGCUUACUCGCUUAUGCUAUUUUACCUACGCUUAGGAUGUUGAUGUGAUACUGCGAGCA